GAGAGCGCGCGCGUGACGCGCACAGUGUGGCAGCAGCGUUGCCACGACGAUGCGCGCUGUCCCGCGAUAUGUAUCUCCUCUUCUCCGAGUUGCCGCCUGAGAAGUCGCGCACAACAAUCUCGUAACAACCGGAUCGCGCUCGUUGCAAUGUAUCGGAGCAAUCUCGCGCGCGCGCGUGCUCGACGAAGACUAUCCGCGGAUAUACGAGAAGACGGGGACGUGGGUUUCCUACUGCGGGCACGACGACGGGUACAUCCCGCUAUCACCACGCGAAGACGGCGCGCGUACGGACCGCGAAGUCGAGAGAGGAGAUUCGCGCCGAGCGAGUGAUGUCCGACCCUCCUCCCUGACCGUGACUACUACUGCGUGUGGCACUCGUAACUCCGGCGGACAGAAGGCGGUUUUCCCCCACGAAAAAGCAACCGGGUUGUGUGUAGAUCGCACGGGUUAGAGAAGAGCGGAGCGAGCGAGCGUGGAGAGUAGCGCCUAGCGCGGUUUUAGAUCCUGCGCCUUCCGCAGUCGUUCGCCAACUGUCAAUCAGCGCCGCGCUAUGCCACAGAGUGGGAGACCAGGUGCCACGCCUACGGCCAAUGUGUCUUCGAGACCGCCCAUCGGGAUCGGGGGUGAGAGAGAGAGAACCUGGUGGUCCAGCGCCGCGACGGCGAGAUUGCGAACUACAGAAUCCUCCGCCAUCGCUACACCACUACCAAAGCGACUGCCGACGGAUCACCACGACGACGACGACGGCGAUGAGGUCGACGAGGGCCUAGGUACGCUACGAGAAACGUCGUUCGCGCGAAAGAAGCGCGAGAUACCAGGGAGAAUCCGCGAAACCGACUCCGUUGCUCCGAUUUCAGGCGUCUCAUACACGGGGAAGACUCUUGAGAUUGGUCUUCUAACAAAACUAAAGCAGGGAGAAGAUGCGAUCUUGGAUCCGACAAAAUUUUACGAAACUGCAGCAUUAUUUUUCUGAAAUUCUAUCUCGCGCACCUUAGACAAAGUCCGAUUAAUAUUCCAUACAAAAUUAUAAAAUAAAAAAAUAGUUACCAACAUAUUAUUGUUAAACAGUGUAUCUAGAGUAAAAGAGAGGAUAUUGAAUUGCA